rnacentral:rRNA from 1 species
CCUACGGGGGGCAGCAGUGGGGAAUAUUGCACAAUGGGCGAAAGCCUGAUGCAGCAACGCCGCGUGAAGGAAGAAGGGUUUCGGCUCGUAAACUUCUAUCAACAGGGACGAAAGAAAUGACGGUACCUGAAUAAGAAGCCCCGGCUAACUACGUGCCAGCAGCCGCGGUAAUACGUAGGGGGCAAGCGUUAUCCGGAAUUACUGGGUGUAAAGGGUGAGUAGGCGGCAUGGUAAGCCAGAUGUGAAAGCCUUGGGCUUAACCCGAGGAUUGCAUUUGAAACUGCAGUUCUUGAGUGAUGGAGAGGCAGGCGGAAUUCCCGGUGUAGCGGUGGAAUGCGUAGAUAUCGGGAGGAACACCAGUGGCGAAGGCGGCCUGCUGGACAUUAACUGACGCUGAGGCGCGAAAGCGUGGGGAGCAAACAGGAUUAGAUACCCUUGUAGUC